rnacentral:ncRNA from 1 species
CUGCUCCGAGCGGAACCGUCUAAGGGCUACGGCCUAUGACGCUCCGCCGCCGGGUCCCGCGCGGGCUCCGGUCUGGGUCGUAUCGGAAACGGUGCGGCCUUCCGUCUUUGAAAAGGGGCUG